UGAAAUGCUUAGAUAUGACGAAGAACCCCGAUUGCGAAGGCAGCUCGCGGGAGCGCAACUGACGCUGAAGCUCGAAAGUGCGGGUAUCGAACAGGAUUAGAUACCCUGGUAGUCCGCACGGUAAACGAUGGAUGCCCGCUUUUCGGUCAUAGGACCGUGAGGNCAAGUGAAAACAUUAAGCAUCCCACCUGGGGAGUACGCCGGCAACGGUGAAACUCAAAGGAAUUGACGGGGGCCCGCACAAGCGGAGGAACAUGUGGUUUAAUUCGAUGAUACGCGAGGAACCUUACCCGGGCUUGAAUUGCAGAUGAAGGAUCCAGAGAUGGUGACGCCCUUCGGGGCAUCUGUGAAGGUGCUGCAUGGUUGUCGUCAGCUCGUGCCGUGAGGUGUCGGCUCAAGUGCCAUAACGAGCGCAACCCCUCUCUUCAGUUGCCAUCAGGUAAAGCUGGGCACUCUGGAGACACUGCCACCGCAAGGUGUGAGGAAGGUGGGGAUGACGUCAAAUCAGCACGGCCCUUACGUCCGGGGCUACACACGUGUUACAAUGGGGGGUACAGCAAGCCGGCUGCCCGCAAGGUCAGUCCAAUCAAGAAAGCCCUCCUCAGUUCGGACUGGGGUCUGCAACCCGACCCCACGAAGCUGGAUUCGCUAGUAAUCGCGCAUCAGCCAUGGCGCGGUGAAUACGUUCCCGGGCCUUGUACACACCGCCCGUCAAGCCAUGAAAGCCGGGGGUGCCUGAAGUCCGUGACCGCAAGGAUCGGCCUAGGGCAAAACUGGUAAUUGGGGCUAAGUCGUAACAAGGUAGCCG
rnacentral:rRNA from 1 species